AUCUGAAAAUUCCAGGAAUUGGUUCCAGUUUCAGGUAUAGGUGGAUCUAGGUGCUCAAAUGACAUCACAAAUGUUCUCUUUCUUUUCUCUAGUUUCUUCUUUGUUGGUUUCUGACAUGCUUCCUCUACAUGAAGAUCUCCAGCCACUCCAGGGUAACACGAACGUUUCAGCUUAUGAUCUCAAAGGGAGAAGGACCUUUCCUCUAGCAGCAUCCAUAUUUAUCCCCUUUCCAAAGAUCUCUGAUGAGCCCUGUUUGGAUCACGUGAUCUUUCCUGGAUCAAUCACUGUUUCCAGGAGCUAUAUCCCCUAUGGUAGAAGAGACAGGGGAAGCUGCUUGACUACUCUAUGGAAUCCUGACCAUUGAGGAUGGGUUAGACCCACAGAAUCUCACUUGUUUUGAACUUACUGGGAAGGAGUAAUACUUUGCACUCACCUUUUGCCCUACCCUGGAAGCUUCUUUCAGCUUAUAGGGGCCUGCGGCUGGAGGCAGGGGGAUCAGUGAGGAGCCUGCAGCAUCAGUCCAGAAAACAUUUGCUGUAAGUGGAAAGCCCCGAGAAGGUUGAGAGCACUUUUGUUUUGUUCAUGUCUGCGUCCUUAUUUCUUGGAACAGUACCUGGCAAACCAUGGGUGCACCAUGCAGCAAGUUAAGGUCACCAAAGUGGAAUUGCGUAUUAAGCCAGUGUCUCCAUCCAGGUAAGAAAGA